rnacentral:rRNA from 1 species
UACGUAGGGCGCAAGCGUUGUCCGGAAUUAUUGGGCGUAAAGAGCUCGUAGGCGGCCAGUUGCGUCUGCUGUGAAAUCCCGGGGCUCAACCCCGGGCGUGCAGUGGAUACGGGCUGGCUAGAGGCAGGCAGGGGAGAACGGAAUUCCCGGUGUAGCGGUGAAAUGCGCAGAUAUCGGGAGGAACACCGGUGGUGAAGGCGGUUCUCUGGGCCUGUACUGACGCUGAGGAGCGAAAGCGUGGGGAGCGAACAGG